rnacentral:rRNA from 1 species
AUUGAACGCUGGCGGCAGGCCUAACACAUGCAAGUCGAGCGCGCGGCGGACGGGUGAGUAAUGUCUGGGAAACUGCCUGAUGGGGGGGGGUAACUACUGGAAACGGUGGCUAAUACCGCCUACCCUCAGCUGUGCCCAGAUGGGAUUAGCUGGUAGGUGGGGUAACGGCUCACCUAGGCGACGAUCCCUAGCUGGUCUGAGAGGAUGACCAGCCACACUGGAACGGAGACACGGUCCAGACUCCUACGGGAGGCAGCAGUGGGGAAUAUUGCACAAUGGGCGCAAGCCUGAUGCAGCCAUGCCGCGUGUGUGAAGAAGGCCUUCGGGUUGUAAAGCACUUUCAGCGGGGAGGCGUUACCCGCAGAAGAAGCACCGGCUAACUCCGUGCCAGCAGCCGCGGUAAUUC